ACGCUGGCGGCGCGUUUUAGCAUGCAAGUCGAACGGUAGAGUAGUGCUUGCACUACUUGAGAGUGGCGAACGGGUGAGUAACGCGUAGAUGAUCUACCUUUCGGUUGGGGAUAGCUCAUGGAAACAUGGGGUAAUACCGAAUAAGAUCCUUUUGCUUUGGCGAUUGGAUGAAAGGGGCUUCGGCCUCGCCGGGGGAUGAGUCUGUGUAUGAUUAGCUAGUUGGUGUGGUAAAGGCGCACCAAGGCGACGAUCAUUAGCCGGCCUGAGAGGGUGACCGGCCACAUUGGGACUGAGACACGGCCCAGACUCCUACGGGAGGCAGCAGCUAAGAAUCUUCCGCAAUGGGCGAAAGCCUGACGGAGCAACGCCGCGUGGGUGAAGAAGGCCGAGAGGUUGUAAAACCCUUUUCCCACAGAAGAAUAAGUUUCAGAGGUAAUGCUGGAGCGAUGACGUUAUGUGAGGAAUAAGCACCGGCCAAUUACGUGCCAGCAGCCGCGGUAACACGUAAGGUGCGAGCGUUGUUCGGAAUUAUUGGGCGUAAAGGGCUCGUAGGUGGCCUGCCAAGUCUCACGUGAAAGACCAGGGCUNNAACCCUGGGAGCGCGAGAGAAACUGGCAAGCUGGAAUCUUGGAGGGGGUACUGGAAUUCCUGGUGUAGGGGUGAAAUCUGUUGAUAUCAGGAAGAACACCGGAGGCGAAGGCGAGUACCUGGCCAAAGAUUGACGCUGAUGAGCGAAAGCGUAGGGAGCGAACAGGAUUAGAUACCCUGGUAGUCUACGCCGUAAACGAUGUGCACUUGGUGGUGGUCCCGUCCGGGAUCACUGCCGGAGCUAACGCAUUAAGUGCACCG
rnacentral:rRNA from 1 species